rnacentral:rRNA from 1 species
GAUGAACGCUGGCGGCGUGCCUAAUACAUGCAAGUCGAGCGAACGGACGAGAAGCUUGCUCCUCUGAUGUUAGCGGCGGACGGGUGAGUAACACGUGGAUAACCUACCUAUAAGACUGGGAUAACUUCGGGAAACCGUAGCUAAUACCGGAUAAUAUUUUGAACCGCAUGGUUCAAAAGUGAAAGACGGUUUUGCUGUCACUUAUAGAUGGAUCCGCGCUGCAUUAGCUAGUUGGUAAGGUAACGGCUUACCAAGGCAACGAUGCGUAGCCGACCUGAGAGGGUGAUCGGCCACACUGGAACUGAGACACGGUCCAGACUCCUACGGGAGGCAGCAGUAGGGAAUCUUCCGCAAAGGGCGAAAGCCUGACGGAGCAACGCCGCGUGAGUGAUGAAGGUCUUCGGAUCGUAAAACUCUGUUAUUAGGGAAGAACAUAUGUGUAAGUAACUGUGCACGUCUUGACGGUACCUAAUCAGAAAGCCACGGCUAACUACGUG